GCGAGAGUGGCGGAACUGGCAGACGCACCGGACUUAGGAUCCGGCGCCAAUGCGGCAUGGGGGUUCAACUCCCCCCUCUCGCACCA
rnacentral:tRNA from 2 species